AAAUAUAAAUGAAAGCCAAAAAGAGGCGCCUAGCUGUUAAUUAGGAGACUGUAAUGUAUGAAUUACUCGUUUAGA
rnacentral:tRNA from 1 species